rnacentral:rRNA from 1 species
UACGUAGGGUGCGAGCGUUGUCCGGAUUUAUUGGGCGUAAAGAGCUCGUAGGCGGUUUGGUAAGUCGGGUGUGAAAACUCUGGGCUCAACUCAGAGACGCCACCUGAUACUGCUAUGACUUGAGUCUGGUAGGGGAGUAUGGAAUUUCCGGUGUAGCGGUGAAAUGCGCAGAUAUCGGAAGGAACACCAGUAGCGAAGGCGGUACUCUGGGCCAGAACUGACGCUGAGGAGCGAAAGCGUGGGGAGCGAACAGG